rnacentral:rRNA from 1 species
UUGAUCCUGGCUCAGGAUGAACGCUAGCGGCGCGCUUAAUGCAUGCAAGUCGAGCGAUGAGGUCCUGCUUGCAGGACACAUCAGCGGCAGACGGGUGAGUAACACGUAAGUGACCUACCCCGAAGACGAGGAUAACGGGUGGAAACAUCCGCUAAUACUGGAUAGACUCUGGGGGUCGCACCGCAGAGUAAAGCUUCGGCGCUUCGGGAGGGGCUUGCGGCCUAUCAGCUAGUUGGUAGGGUAACGGCCUACCAAGGCAAAGACGGGUAGGGGGUGUGAGAGCACGACCCCCCACAAUGGCACUGAGACACGGGCCAUACUCCUACGGGAGGCAGCAGCAGGGAAUAUUGCACAAUGGACGGAAGUCUGAUGCAGCGACGCCGCGUGGAUGAUGAAGGCCCUCGGGUCGUAAAAUCCUUUUCAGGGGGACGAGGCAGGACGGUACCCUUGGAAUAAGCGUCGGCUAACUACGUGCCAGCAGCCGCGGUAAGACGUAGGACGCAAGCGUUAUCCGGAUUUACUGGGCGUAAAGCGUCUGUAGGCGGAUGGGUAAGUUGGGCGUGAAAGCUCCGUGCUCAACGCGGAGAGGUCGUUCAAUACUGCCGAUCUGGAGGUCAUCAGAGGGGCGUGGAAUUUCCGGUGUAGCGGUAAAAUGCGCAGAUAUCGGAAGGAACACCAGUGGCGAAAGCGGCGCCCUGGGGUGGACCUGACGCUGAGAGACGAAAGCUAGGGGAGCGAACAGGAUUAGAGACCCUGGUAGUCCUAGCUAUAAACGAUGGAUGCUAGGUGUGGGGUCGAGAAGACUCCGUGCCGGAGCCAACGCGAUAAGCAUCCCGUCUGGGGACUACGGCCGCCAAGCUAAAACUCAAACGAAUUGACGGGGCCCCGCACAAGCAGCGGAGCGUGU